rnacentral:rRNA from 1 species
UUACCCGCUGAACUUAAGCAUAUCAAUAAGCGGAGGAAAAGAAACUAACAAGGAUUCCCCUAGUAACUGCGAGUGAACCGGGAAAAGCUCAAAUUUAAAAUCUGGCAGUCUUUUGGCUGUCCGAGUUGUAAUCUAGAGAAGCGUUAUCCGCGCUGGACCGUGUACAAGUCUCCUGGAAUGGAGCGUCAUAGAGGGUGAGAAUCCCGUCUUUGACACGGACUGCCAGGGCUUUGUGAUGCGCUCUCAAAGAGUCGAGUUGUUUGGGAAUGCAGCUCAAAAUGGGUGGUAAAUUCCAUCUAAAGCUAAAUAUUGGCGAGAGACCGAUAGCGAACAAGUACCGUGAGGGAAAGAUGAAAAGAACUUUGGAAAGAGAGUUAAACAGUACGUGAAAUUGCUGAAAGGGAAACGCUUGAAGUCAGUCGCGUUGGCCAGGGAUCAACCUUGCUUUUGCUUGGUGUACUUUCUGGUUGACGGGUCAGCAUCAAUUUUGACCAUUGGAAAAAGAUUAGGGGAAUGUGGCAUCUUCGGAUGUGUUAUAGCCCUUGGUUGCAUACAAUGGUUGGGAUUGAGGAACUCAGCACGCCGCAAGGCCGGGUUUUUUAACCACGUACGUGCUUAGGAUGCUGGCAUAAUUCUUUAACGACCCUCUUGAAACACGGACCAAGGAGCUAACAUACCUGCGGAUGUUUGGGUGGAAAACCCGAGCGCGCAAUGAAAGUGAAAGGUUGAGAUCCCUGUCGUGGGGAGCAUCGACGCCCGGACCAGACCUUUUGUGACGGUUCCGCGGUAGAGCAUGUAUGUUGGGACCCGAAAGAUGGUGAACUAUGCCUGAAUAGGGUGAAGCCAGAGGAAACUCUGGUGGAGGCUCGUAGCGAUUCUGACGUGCAAAUCGAUCGUCAAAUUUGGGUAUAGUGGCGAAAGACUAAUCGAACC